rnacentral:rRNA from 1 species
UACAGAGGGGGGCAAGCGUUUAUUCGGAAUUAUUGGGCGUAAAGCGCGUGUAGGCGGCUUUGCAAGUCGGGGUGUGAAAAGCCCUCAGCUUAACUGAGGAAGUGCGCCCGAAACUGCAUGGCUUGAGUACCGGAGAGGGUGGCGGAAUUCCCCCAAGUAGAGGUGAAAAUUCGUAGAUAUGGGGAGGAACACCAGUGGCGAAGGCGGCCACCUGGACGGAUACUGACGCUGAGACGCGAAAGCGUGGGUAGGCAAACAGG